ACGAACGCUGGCGGCGUGCUUAACACAUGCAAGUCGAACGGAAAGGCCUGCUUUCCCUUGUGGAUUGCGGGUACUCGAGUGGCGAACGGGUGAGUAACACGUGAGUGAUCUGCCCCCAACUUGGGUAUAAGCCUGGGAAACUGGGUCUAAUUCCCGAUAGGACUGCAGGGUGGUGCCUGUGGUGGAAAACGAUUUUCUAGUGGUUGGGGAUGAGCUCGCGGCCUAUCAGCUUGUUGGUGGGGUAAUGGCCUACCAAGGCGGCGACGGGUAGCCGGCCUGAGAGAGUGGACGGCCACAUUGGGACUGAGAUACGGCCCAGACUCCUACGGGGGGCAGCAGUGGGGAAUAGUGCACAAUGGGCGGAAGCCUGAUGCAGCGACGCCGCGUGGGGGAUGACGGCCUUCGGGUUGUAAACUCCUUUCGACCGCGAGGAAGCCACCUGGUUGGAAGGGUGGUGACGGUAGUGGUAGAAGAAGCACCGGCUAACUACGUG
rnacentral:rRNA from 1 species